UUUAUGAGUUUUCCGAAUGUU
rnacentral:piRNA from 1 species